rnacentral:rRNA from 1 species
GAUCAUGGCUCAGAUUGAACGCUGGCGGCAUGCUUUACACAUGCAAGUCGAACGGCAGCACAGGGAGCUUGCUCCCGGGUGGCGAGUGGCGCACGGGUGAGUAAUACAUCGGAACGUGUCCUAUUGUGGGGGAUAACUGCUCGAAAGGGUGGCUAAUACCGCAUGAGACCUGAGGGUGAAAGCGGGGGAUCGCAAGACCUCGCGCAAUGANCGCGA